AAUGAACGCUGGCGGCGUGCCUAACACAUGCAAGUCGAACGAGAAAUCUAGCCUUCGGGCAAGAGAGUAAAGUGGCGCACGGGUGAGUAACGCGUGGAUAACCUGCCCUUUAAUCUGGAAUAACUUCGCGAAAGCGUUGCUAAUGCCGGAUAUCAUCCUUUAAACGGUGGUUUUUAGGAUGAAAGGUGACCUAUUCUUGAAAGUUGUCGUUAAAGGAGGGGUCCGCGUACCAUUAGCUAGUUGGUGGGGUAAUGGCCUACCAAGGUUACGAUGGUUAGCUGGUCUGAGAGGAUGAUCAGCCACACUGGAACUGAAACACGGUCCAGACUCCUACGGGAGGCAGCAGUGAGGAAUUUUGCGCAAUGGGGGAAACCCUGACGCAGCAACGCCGCGUGAGUGAAGAAGGUCUUCGGAUCGUAAAGCUCCGUCAAGUGGGAAAAAUGUUUUACUAUUAAUAGUAGUGGAAUUUGAUGU
rnacentral:rRNA from 1 species